rnacentral:rRNA from 1 species
CACGUAGGGGCCAAGCGUUGUCCGGAUUCAUUGGGCGUAAAGGGUGCGUAGGUGGCAUGGUAAGUCGGGUGUGAAAUCCCGGGGCUCAACCCCGGAACUGCACUCGAUACUGCCGUGCUCGAGUACUGGAGAGGAGACUGGAAUUUACGGUGUAGCAGUGAAAUGCGUAGAUAUCGUAAGGAAGACCGGUGGCGAAGGCUAGUCUCUGGACAGUUACUGACACUGAGGCACGAAGGCCAGGGGAGCAAACGGG